ACUUAAAUUGAAGAGUUUGAUCAUGGCUCAGAUUGAACGCUGGCGGCAGGCCUAACACAUGCAAGUCGAGCGGUAGCACAGAGAGCUUGCUCUCGGGUGACGAGCGGCGGACGGGUGAGUAAUGUCUGGGAAACUGCCUGAUGGAGGGGGAUAACUACUGGAAACGGUAGCUAAUACCGCAUAAUGUCGCAAGACCAAAGUGGGGGACCUUCGGGCCUCAUGCCAUCAGAUGUGCCCAGAUGGGAUUAGCUAGUAGGUGGGGUAACGGCUCACCUAGGCGACGAUCCCUAGCUGGUCUGAGAGGA
rnacentral:rRNA from 1 species